UUUAAAACUUUCAAGUAACUUUCAAGUUAUGAAAUUUUCAUAACAGCUCGGAAUAUAUUUAGAGUGAUGACAAAGAAUAAUUCGAAUCACUACAUAUAUCAAAACGACAAGUAGUGUGUCGUUUCAGUAAGAAUCGCAUAAAAAUUUGACGGUUUUACCCUACACUCCGCUCACUCUGCUUCGUCUUCCCUCCUCGAUUCAAAUUCCAAAAUCCGAUCCAGUCCUUAAUACUUAGGGUUUCUCGUCCCCGCCUCCACCAUGAGCUCCGCCACGGUUCUCGACGGCGAUAAUUAUGCUGCUGAAGAGGUUUGUAUUCGUAAUGAAUCUUUGAUGAGCAGUGCACAGAGGAGAAAACUAGCGGAUAUUAGCAAUUUGGAGGGUCAAGCAAAGCAAACGAACAGAGAAGAGACGCACCAGCAGCAAGAUAUACUCUUCUCUUGUAAAGAAUAUGCUGAGAAGCUUGAAAAGGCAUUUCCUUUUGCACUUUUAUUUUGGUGCCUUUUGUGGUGGCUGACUGUUAUUUUGUUGAUUCUCGGUUGCAAGUAACCAUCUUCAUCUUUAGAAUGUGUUGGUUUCUGAGCGUUACUUUUGGUGGUGAUGCUUGUUUUUUUUUUGUUUUGGUGGUUCAGUAGCUUACUUCAUGCUUUUGUAUAUCCAAGUCAAAGGUUAUCUUUGACUUCCUCUUCUACUUAAAAACGAUUGUAUAAGCUGAUAAUCUACACUUCUUAUUUAGUGUGUGCAUUAGUCAUU